GGGAUGGACGCGGGGGCACGGAACACUCGGGUCACCGUCUCCUCUGCUGCCUUGAAUGACCAACAGAUCUUAAAGAAUGAAACCCAUUGCAAAUGAGCUGAAUCUAGCCAAGUCCAGUUUUAUUGUUUUUGAGCAGCAGGCAUUGAAGCUG